CAUUUCCACCAACAGUGAAAGAGGUUGAACCCCAUAUUCUUGAGAAAGGUGUUGAUCCUUAAUAAACAUCUUACUCAAAUACUGUAUGCAUUAGAAUUUGUUCUGUUACUACUCCAGUAACAGGGAAACAGGAAGGCCUUGUGACUCAAGUAAUAGUGCAAGGCUUCUCCUCAGACACCAAGGAAAUGAGGAUCUUUGAGACCUGAUAGGGCCAGACUUCACAUACCCUGAGCAGGAACAACUUUGAAGACCUCACAGAAGGAUCUGCAGGGGAGAUCAUGUUUGAUGGGAAAGCAUCAAUAGACACCAGCAAAUGGUCUAGAUACAGAAAGCUAACAGACUGGGGGGAGCACAGCACGCUCGCAAUCAAUUGGGAGAGUUUCCUCGUGUCAAGGACUCAUGAUGGCCAGUGGAUGACAGCAGGCAAAUGUAUGCCUUUUUGUCAGGUGCUUUGAGAAGUAGCACCCUUCCAUCGUUGGGAGUCUUCAGAAGCUUCGGGCCCUUCUGGUCAUUCUGGACAUUUUGGUUUUCGCCUGCUCUAUGGGUAGAAAUAAUUAGUAUAAAAACAACCCUCCAGUCCCAGGUCAUUUGUGAGCAUUUACCACCAGACUGGAUGAACUGAAGUUUAAAUUCCCAGGUAUACUAUUUCUUAGCAGGACUGAGCCUCAAACUUGCUUGAGAUCCAUUCCUACAAACAUAUAACUGGAAUUACAAGAUAAAAAGAUAUAUUAGAUUUGUAAAGCAUAGAAAAGAUUAGUAUUUCCUGAUUGUCUACUAUAUUCUAGGUUCUGUGCUAGGCAUUUCACAUAUGAUCUCAUUUAAUAUUUCUCUUAAAUUUAGUUUUAAAUUUUUAUUGAAAUAAUGUACAUUUUAUUAACAUCAAAAAGACUGGGUGGCAAAUAGUUGGGAGUUCACUUUAAGAAACACUUUUCCUAGGACACAAAGAAAUGGAAAAACAUUCCAUG